rnacentral:rRNA from 1 species
AGUGAACGCUGGCGGUAGGCCUAACACAUGCAAGUCGAACGGCAGCACAGUAAGAGCUUGCUCUUACGGGUGGCGAGUGGCGGACGGGUGAGGAAUACAUCGGAAUCUACUUUUUCGUGGGGGAUAACGUAGGGAAACUUACGCUAAUACCGCAUACGACCUACGGGUGAAAGCAGGGGAUCUUCGGACCUUGCGCGAUUGAAUGAGCCGAUGUCGGAUUAGCUAGUUGGCGGGGUAAAGGCCCACCAAGGCGACGAUCCGUAGCUGGUCUGAGAGGAUGAUCAGCCACACUGGAACUGAGACACGGUCCAGACUCCUACGGGAGGCAGCAGUGGGGAAUAUUGGACAAUGGGCGCAAGCCUGAUCCAGCCAUACCGCGUGGGUGAAGAAGGCCUUCGGGUUGUAAAGCCCUUUUGUUGGGAAAGAAAAGCAGCAGGUUAAUACCCCGCGGUUCUGACGGUACCCAAAGAAUAGGCACCGGCUAACUUCGUG